rnacentral:tRNA from 1 species
UUCCCCAAUAGCUGAAUUUAUAGCGUAGCCUUGAAGCGGCUAAGGUGUUCUUAUUUCUUGGGGAAA